ACACUCCUGCGGGAGGCAGCAGUGGGGAAUAUUGCACAAUGGGCGCAAGCCUGAUGCAGCCAUGCCGCGUGUGUGAAGAAGGCCUUCGGGUUGUAAAGCACUUUCAGCGGGGAGGAAGGCAAUGCGGUUAAUAACCGUGUUGAUUGACGUUACCCGCAGAAGAAGCACCGGCUAACUCCGUGCCAGCAGCCGCGGUAAUACGGAGGGUGCAAGCGUUAAUCGGAAUUACUGGGCGUAAAGCGCACGCAGGCGGUCUGUCAAGUCGGAUGUGAAAUCCCCGGGCUCAACCUGGGAACUGCAUUCGAAACUGGCAGGCUUGAGUCUUGUAGAGGGGGGUAGAAUUCCAGGUGUAGCGGUGAAAUGCGUAGAGAUCUGGAGGAAUACCGGUGGCGAAGGCGGCCCCCUGGACAAAGACUGACGCUCAGGUGCGAAAGCGUGGGGAGCAAACAGGAUUAGAUACCCGUGUAGUCCCAUG
rnacentral:rRNA from 1 species